rnacentral:rRNA from 1 species
ACGCACGCUGGCGGCGUGCCUAAUACAUGCAAGUAGAACGCUGAAGAGAGGAGCUUGCUCUUCUUGGAUGAGUUGCGAACGGGUGAGUAACGCGUAGGUAACCUGCCUUGUAGCGGGGGAUAACUAUUGGAAACGAUAGCUAAUACCGCAUAACAAUGGAUGACACAUGUCAUUUAUUUGAAAGGGGCAAUUGCUCCACUACAAGAUGGACCUGCGUUGUAUUAGCUAGUAGGUGAGGUAAUGGCUCACCUAGGCGACGAUACAUAGCCGACCUGAGAGGGUGAUCGGCCACACUGGGACUGAGACACGGCCCAGACUCCUACGGGAGGCAGCAGUAGGGAAUCUUCGGCAAUGGGGGCAACCCUGACUGAGCAACGCCGCGUGAGUGAAGAAGGUUUUCGGAUCGUAAAGCUCUGUUGUAAGUCAAGAACGGGUGUGAGAGUGGAAAGUUCACACUGUGACGGUAGCUUACCAGAAAGGGACGGCUAACUACGUG